GGGGAUUUAGCUCAGUGGCAUAAGCACCUGCCUUGCAAGCAGGCAGUCAUGAGUUCAAUUUCUG
rnacentral:tRNA from 1 species